GGAGUAAAGCCUAGUGGAGUAAAGCCUAGUGAAGUAAAGCCUAAUGGAGUAAAGCCUAGUGGAGUAAAGCCUAGUGACGUAAAGCCUAGUGAAGUAAAGCCUAGUGGAGUAAAGUCCAGUGGAUCGGGCCCCGUGUGUUUUUGGUUCACUGGGUUUCCGGUCGUAAACAGAAGUGGCUUCAAUCAGCCGACGUGGAGCGGCAGCUACAAGGUCCACUUCCUGCUCUGCGGCUGCUCACCCCCCCCCGCCUCCUCGCCACGAGAUGCUAUCAACACACGCUGAAAGGAACAGGAAGUGUUCCGCCUGCCGUCGCCAUGGCGACAGC